AGAGUUUGAUCCUGGCUCAGGAUGAACGCUAGCUACAGGCUUAACACAUGCAAGUCGAGGGGCAGCAUGGUCUUAGCUUGCUAAGGCUGAUGGCGACCGGCGCACGGGUGAGUAACACGUAUCCAACCUGCCGUCUACUCUUGGCCAGCCUUCUGAAAGGAAGAUUAAUCCAGGAUGGGAUCAUGAGUUCACAUGUCCGCAUGAUUAAAGGUAUUUUCCGGUAGACGAUGGGGAUGCGUUCCAUUAGAUAGUAGGCGGGGUAACGGCCCACCUAGUCAACGAUGGAUAGGGGUUCUGAGAGGAAGGUCCCCCACAUUGGAACUGAGACACGGUCCAAACUCCUACGGGAGGCAGCAGUGAGGAAUAUUGGUCAAUGGGCGAUGGCCUGAACCAGCCAAGUAGCGUGAAGGAUGACUGCCCUAUGGGUUGUAAACUUCUUUUAUAAAGGAAUAAAGUCGGGUAUGCAUACCCGUUUGCAUGUACUUUAUGAAUAAGGAUCGGCUAACUCCGUGCCAGCAGCCGCGGUAAUACGGAGGAUCCGAGCGUUAUCCGGAUUUAUUGGGUUUAAAGGGAGCGUAGAUGGAUGUUUAAGUCAGUUGUGAAAGUUUGCGGCUCAACCGUAAAAUUGCAGUUGAUACUGGAUGUCUUGAGUGCAGUUGAGGCAGGCGGAAUUCGUGGUGUAGCGGUGAAAUGCUUAGAUAUCACGAAGAACUCCGAUUGCGAAGGCAGCCUGCUAAGCUGCAACUGACAUUGAGGCUCGAAAGUGUGGGUAUCAAACAGGAUUAGAUACCCUGGUAGUCCACACGGUAAACGAUGAAUACUCGCUGUUUGCGAUAUACGGCAAGCGGCCAAGCGAAAGCGUUAAGUAUUCCACCUGGGGAGUACGCCGGCAACGGUGAAACUCAAAGGAAUUGACGGGGGCCCGCACAAGCGGAGGAACAUGUGGUUUAAUUCGAUGAUACGCGAGGA
rnacentral:rRNA from 2 species